CUAGAUUUUUUUUUUUGCGUUCUUCUGUACAGGAAUGUUUUUAAUUAAAGAUGAACAUGAGCUCACAUAAUGUUGUCCUUUUUUUUUUUUCACAGUCAAGUUGCCAAUCUCCCUACUCUUUAUUAGAGUUCGUCAUGCCAAAGGAAAAUAAAGUUUGUGUUUACUCAUCCCUGCCAUUGAUGGAGAUUAUUCAGCAACCAACUAGCCUUCAAGGGUAUAUUGAAUGUUCUGUCACAUGAUACGAGCUAAUGCAAACAGGUAAAAAAAAAAACAAAAUCCUGAAAUGUAUUAAGCCAUUGUUCUCAGCCUGAACCUGCCCUGUCCAAUUAACAUCGAGAUGAGAGCAAUGUUACCUAGUGUCCCAAUAGCCCCGUCAAGGCAGGAAAGCCCAUACUUCAGUAAUGGGCCUAUCCACGCAGAAAACCCCGCAGGCUAAUGGAUGUGAUUGAUUUGUAUUUAAUAAGAAGUGGUUUACUCUAAGCCUCCCAGAAGCACACACAGGGUUAUUCAAUAAACUCUGAAUUGUAGCACUUUAAAAUCCAAAUCACAAAAUGGUUGAUCUGUAACACCAAAUCACAAAAUGGUUGAUCUGUAACAUUUUUGAAUUCAGUCCCAGCUUUUAGAUUUGAAUUUUGCAUGUAUUUUAGUUACAUAGUUACAUAGCUGAAAAGAGACUUGCGUCCAUCAAGUUCAGCCUUCCUCACAUAUGUUUUUUGCUUUUGAUCCAAAAGAAGGCAAAAAAACCCAAACAGUUUGAAGAACUUCCAAUUUUGCAACAAACUCGUGAGUAACUGUUACUAGUAGUGCUUGUCUUCCUACUUUUCCUGACAUGCGACCACUCUAAAAAAUGAUUGCACGGUUGGUAAUAUGGGUAAAUGACUGAUACAGCUCUAACGUUUACUCUGUGGACCAAACAUGUACACCACAAUCGCAAACAGUGAGGCGAUGAAACAAUCACUCAUCUUCUUCGUCCUGGCCUUUCGUUCAUUUAUAUCUUAUGUAUGUAUCAAAGACUUGUCAAGCAAGACGCUCUUACUUCCUUGGUUUUGUUAGUGAGUUGUGAAUCUAGUCCAGUAUUUUCCACCUGCAUUUUAGAAGAUUACAAAUUACACAGCAUAAUAUAGGAGACAUUAACCUAGACCUCAUAUCUCUGGAGAAUUGAUAUUUCCUUUAAUGUGAUCGUUCUUUGUUCAUGAAUUGUUUCCUAGAGGAUUUGGCUGGUUCCUUAUUACCCAGGGUGACCAGAUCCACCAUGUUUACAGGGACACAAAUAAUUUAGUUAUUUUUAUGAAAAGGGUUGCCCUACAGUAUGUAAAAUGCAUAUUCUGCAAGAUUCUUCAUUGCCUAAUUGCUUAAAGGACCACUAGAGUCACCCAGACCACUUUAGCUCAAUGAAGUGGUCUGGGUGCCAGGUCCCCCAGGUUUUAACCCUUCAGAUGUAAACAUAGCAGUUUCAGAGAAACUGGUAUGUUUACAUUGCAGGGUUAAUCCAGCCUCUAGUGGCUUUCUUCCUGACAGCCGCUAGAGGUGCUUCUGAAUGCGAAAAAUCACAUUCAGUGUGCAGAACGUCCAUAGGAAAGCAUUAAGAAAUGCUUUCCUAUGGGCGGUUUUAAUGGGCCGCGCAUGCGCAUUCCGCCCUACUCGGGAGCUGACGUCGGAGUGGGAGGAGAGGUCACCAGCACCGAGGGAGCACGGCGCUGGAUUAAAGUAAGUAGCUGAAGGGGUUUUAAUCCCUUCAGCCAAGAGGGAGGGGGGCCCUGAGGGUGGGGGGGACCUAAGGGUUGUAUAGUGUCAGGAAAACUAGUUUGUUUUCCUGGCACUAUAGGGAUCCUUUAAUCUUAAAGGCCUCCUUCUGAAUUCUACAUGCUACAGGGCAACACUUUUCCUGUGCUGCCCAUCACAAUGUAUAUAUGAUAUAGUUACAUGGGCUGAAAAGAGACUUGUGUCCACCAAGUUCAGCCUUCCUCAUAUUAGUUUUUUGCUGUUGAUCUACAAGAAGGCAAAAAAACACAGUUUGAAGCACUGAUUUAUCCUUGUCCCAGAAAGAAUAGUGUAUCUGUUAUUACCUUAUCUAAUGAUUUCUGAAAACACAUUUUGGCUGCAGACCCACCCCAAGGCUCCAUAGUCUUUCUUUGGAAGAAAUAGCUCUUAGGAGAAAUAUCUAGCAACAGAGUAAAUCUGGCCUUACCCAUCGUGUGAGCACACAUGACAAUGAAGAGUUUAUCUUUCCUUACUGUACAUUACUGGAAAAUUACAACGGGAAUUCUCUAAACAAAUUUUAUUUUUUUAACGCCUGGUCAAAUGAAAGAAAGAUUUUUGUGUAGGAAUUAUAACGGUUGCAUAUUCUCCUGGGACUUUUGCAAUAAAUGCUUUGAGCAUGAAAAUAAAAUAAAUACAGAUGACUUUUCAGGUACCUUUAAAUGUAGUUUCGAUUUUUCAACUUUUAUAUAAUUACACAGUUUAGUGAAUAAUCCCCUGGAUGCGUUAACGGUGCAACUUUAUCUUAAUCCAUAUCCAUUGUGGAGUAGAUUUGUCAGAUGUACUAUCGCCCAGCAAUUAGCUUGGUGUUUGGCAGCUCAUAUUACUGUGAGGAAUUUGUUGUCUGUGCUUUGGAAUUACGUUGCCCACUCACAAAGUUAUUAACUAAACUGAGAGGAAAUGGGAAGUCAGCAAUGUUUGCAGUUUGGGAAUUUUGAAUUACAAACUGAUAUUUAAUUUUUAUUUCCGUUGAAUUCCCUGUAAUUCACAUUUUAGGGACUAAUACCGACACACAUACAUGGAAACGUUACCGGUAUAUGUUGUUUUACACUGUACAUGCAACAAGCUAUGCACUAACAUCUUCACACACUAUACUAACACUAAAUCUGCACACCUGCAGUAUGUGUAUAUGGAUUGCCUGGCAACAGCAUGUGUGGAAUGUAUCACUGGCAAUCUACAAUCUAAGGAGAGAAUUAUAUUUUACUGAAUGGACUAUGCAGUGUGUUGGUUUUUUUUUUUUAUUGAAAUGUUUUCCAACAAUACAAAUACAGAUUAAAUCCACAAACAGGGAAGCAGUAGGCAAGAUAGUUAACACGUGGCAUUGAGAGAGAAAAAUAUCCCCGUGAGAGAAACAAAUGAAAAUGAUCUCUUCCAACAUAUUGCUAAAGUAAGCAUGCCCUUAUAUGAGGACAGACCAAAUGUUCCAUUGACUUACAGAGCCAGAUUGUCACGGCUAAAUACACGUUUUCAUAGAUACACAUUCUCAAUUUGUGUUACUAUAUAGGUGCAUAGUUGAAGUUAAUUACAGACAAGAAUCAUUUUUCCCAGAAUACUUUACCGUACUUAAAGGGACACUCCUAGCAAAAUAAAAACACAGUUUAUUGUAGGUAGAGAAAUAACUGGAAAUGUUUCUUAACCCCUUAAGGACACAACUUCAGAAAUAAAAGGGAAUCAUGAUGGAAUAUUUCCGUCAUGUGUCCUUAAUGGGUUAAGAGACCCGUGCCCUAGCCAUAACCCUAAAAUAAAAGUGACCCUCUUUAGCCAUUUGAACUGUUAGGGGGAAAAUGUAGGCGGUUACUUAUAGUAGUAGACAUUUAAAUCUAUUUUUAAUUCAUGAUAGAAACACCUAAGCAAAUAUAUAUUGCAAACUUGAAAAAUAAAUGAAUAAAAUAAAUUAAAAUUAUAAAUAAUAAUUAAAAACAAAUAAAAGUAUACAAUAGUCUUCCACACCGCUUCCUUGUAACAUUGUAGACAGGAUCUUGUUGAAGGGACACUCUGGACACUGUAACAGCUUCAUCUUAUUGAAGUGGUUAUAGUGUCUCAAAGCCCCUGGUGAUGUCCUUACAUGGGCUGCUUGGACUAAAGAGGAAGCAAUUAGUGGCAGCUCACAAUUUCAGCCUAUCAUGUCCACCAUUGAUUGUAUCACUUGGUAUGGCUAGUAUUAAAGGAACACUAUAGUCCCUAAACAACUUUAGCUUAAUGAAGCAGUUUUAGUGUAUAGAUCAUGCCUCUCAGGUUUCACUGCUCAACUCACUGCCAUUUAGGAGUUAAAUCACUUUGUUUCUGUUUAUGCAGCCCUUGUCACACCUCCCCUGGCUCUGAUUGACACAGCCUGCAUAAAAAAAAAAAAGUUUCACUUUCAAUCAGAUAACAUAGAAACAUAGAAUGUGACGGCAGAUAAGAACCAUUCGGCCCAUCUAGUCUGCCCAAUUUUCGAAAUACUUUCAUUAGUCCCUGGCCUUAUCUUAUAGUUAGGAUAGCCUUAUGCCUAUCCCACGCAUGCUUAAACUCCUUUACUGUGUUAACCUCUACCACGUCAGCUGGAAGGCUAUUCCAUGCAUCCACUACCCUCUCAGUAAAGUAAUACUUCCUGAUAUUAUUUUUAAACCUUUGUCCCUCUAUAACCUUAAACAAUUGCAUCUCUUUCUCUGUAAAUUUAACCUUAAUCACAUUCAAGAGGCUCUUGCAGGGUCUAGCAAACUAUUAAGAAAAUCUAAAUUAAACAGAAUUUGCAAUAAAGGAAGGCUAAACUGUAGAUGACUCUUUUCAGGAAGUGUUUAGGAAGGCUGUGCAAGUCACAUGCAGGGAGGUGUGACUAGGGUUCAUAAACAAAGUGAUUUAACUCCUAAAUGGCAGAGGAUUGAGCAGUGAGGCUGCAGGGGCAUGUUCUAUACACCAAAACUGCUUCAUUAAGCUAAAGUUGUUUUGGUGACUAUAGUGUUCCUUUAAGCACCAGGGAACUCCAAGCACUAUAACCAGUUCAGUGAGAAGAAACUGUUUUUGUGCCUAGAGAGUCCCUUUAAGCUUCAAAUCCUAAAGUGAGAUUAAACAUUAAUGAAUAAAUUUAGUUAGUAUAUUUGUAUUGAAAUUCAUUAAUUAAUGAGAGAUGUCCACAAAUUCUUUGACAGCUGUGUAUACCUAAUUCUGUAACAAGUGUCGAAAUCUCAUAUUGUAAUGUUAUAUCUGGUAAUUCAUAUAGCAAUCAAUAAUAGAAAAUGGCAUAAAAAUGCAUAAAUGUCCUAGCUAUAAAAUACUGGAAAUAGUGAUGAGUGUGCAAACUAAAGAUAAAAGGGGUGGGGAAUGUACUAACCAGAUGCAAAAAAAAAGAAAGGUGAAUGAUAGUACCAUUUAAUUCAAAGCUUCAAAUAUCACUACUGUGGCAAAUCGCAAAGAACAUUUGUAUGGUAAGUUGCAUGAAGACAGCACUCUCAAAGAAAAUAUUACCCUGUAUCUUUAACAUGCGUAUCUAGCGCUAAUUUGUGAAUAUAUUUGACAGUAUACUUAGAGAUAGAUUAUAGUAUUUGAUGUAUAAAUUACUAUAAUGAAUUUAUUUUAGUGAAAAAUCCAACAAAACUAUUAAUUCUAUCUUAAUGCCUGGGGGGUAGUUCUCAUUAGGACACUUUACAAGGACACUUUACAGCAAUAUGGUCAAUUUGGGGAGAUAGAAAUAUCUCCCUCAACUGGAACACGCUGUCAGUUGCCAGGAAUAAGUAUUUUACAGUAAGGCUAUGUAAUUAUCUGAUUAAAGAGGUUGUUUUAUCAGAUCCUGUACAUGUUUUUAAACAUUGUCUGAUUUUUUUUUUUUUUUUUUUUUUUAACCUGAAUAUUCAACGCUAUAAUAAUUAAUAUGUCAAGUAAAAUCAUAUUUAUCCAAGAAAAAAAAAUCAUAUUGCCAUUUUGAAAUUUUGCCGUUUUCAGCAAAAUUGGAAAACAUUUCAAAUUUGUGGGGUGCUGUCUUCUUUUGGAUCAACAACAUUAAUGGAAAUUUAUGAAUGGCUGCACUAUCUAUCUAUCUAGCUAUCUAUCCAUCCAUCCAUCCAUCUAUCUACGUAUCUAUCUAUUUAUUAUUAUUACUGGUAUUUAUAUAGCGCCAGCAUAUUCCGUAGAGCUUUACAGUAUUAUCAAAGAGGGAGAUUUAACAAUGACUGAGACAAUUACAAAAACUUACAGGAACAAUAGGUUGAAGAGGGCCCUGCUCAAACGAGCUUACAAUAUAUAGGAGGUGGGGUAUAAAACACAACAGAACAGGAGGUAGCAAUCAAAUAAAGUGGAGUGAAGCGGAGCUGGAGGAGAGAAUAGAGUGCUGCCCUUUAGGAGAGAGCAAGAGACUAUCUAUUUAUUAUUUUUAUUAUUAUUGGCAUUUAUAUAGCACCAACUUAUUUUCAAUAUUAGAAAAAGGGGGACAUAUAACAAUAAAUGAAACAAUUACAAAAUGUUGCAAAAACAAUAGGUUGAUAGGGACUCUGCUCAAAGAAGCUUACAGUCUAGAGUAUCUAUCUAUCUAAUCUGUCUAUUUGUCUGUAUAUCUAUCUAUCUAUCUAUCUAAUCUAAUCUAUAUGUGUAUCUGUCUAUCUAUUCAAGCAAGUCCAGUUUCUACGUGGUGGAAUAUUAAAGCAGUUCAGUUUUUACAAAGAUAAUUUUUUUAUUAAAAAAUAAAUAAAAAUUGGCUGAAAUUCCAGUGCAAUCAGCAAAUAUAAGGCAAAAUAAGAACCCGUUUGUCUCAUGUAUUUCUAGACUGUAAGCUCUUACGAGCAGGGUUCUCAUCAACCUAUUGUCCCUGUAACAAUAAUAAUGUUUGGCAAUUGGCAGAAAUUCCACCAUUACAAGCGUUGGACACUGCCAUUGGAGGUGAUAGCUGAUGUGCCAUCGAUGCCAAUGGGAUUUUAUUGCACAUUUACAAGAAGCUCUAUAGUGGGACCACAGUCUUGCAACAUCUUCCACAGACCACUGCUUUGUCCCUCCAUCUAUUUCCAAGGUUAAUUUCUAUGGUAAUAAUGUAUCACUUCAGCCGGCUAUAGUGUUGAUGCAGAUUCUCGAAGCUACGUUAAAAUUAGAAUAUUAAUAACAGCAUUCAGAAUCAUAAAAGCAUAAACAAAUCACAUUCUAUUUUGAGUAAGAGUAGUGAACAACAUAUGUUCAGGUGAACAAAGAAUUAAAAGCAUACCUUGGAUGUAAAAACAUGAACUUAACAAUCCAAACCUGACAGAUGUGAUCACAUCUGCUGCUAAUUAGCUAAUUGUCCAGAAACGUUCACAGAAGCACAUUGUUUACAUUAGACACAGGACAGCGAGCUUAUCUAUGGUACAGUAAAUAAAAUAAAAAAUAUAGCAAAUUUCUGAUCCACAACAAUCAAUAUAUUAUAGAAAAAACUGGUUGUGCUCUGGGUGAUAUUUGUGGGACAGUAGUUGGAAUAUAUGAGGUAAUAUGGUCCAGUUCGCCAUUGGCGAAUGAAAAUUUAGUCUUGGCUAUUAGAAAUGUCCCUGUGCUGAGUGCAAUAAGACUUGACUGGGGAGUAAUUUUUUAAAGGAACUCUAUAGUGUCAGGUUUUCAAACAUGUAUUCCUGACACUAUAGACUGAUGUGGCAUUUUAGGUGACUGGCCUCUCUCUAAUUUAAAUGAUUUUAGUCACAUUUUCUCCAUUGCUGCUCCAGUGUAACCCCGGCUGGCCCCGCCUCCAUGGCUGAGAUUAUCAUUCUUGAUGACAUCAGCCAAUCCAAUGAUUUCUCAAAGGAAAGCAUUAGGAGGCUAUUGUGCAUGCGCAGCAAAACUCCAUUCUGAGCCAAUUAGCAUUUUCUCAUAAAGAUGCAUUGAAUCAAUGGGAACGUUCAGCGUCUCCUUGCAGAGUGUUUUGCCUUUUGAAAAAUCAGCCAAUUGUCUGAGUCAUUUUUAAAUGUUGGCGCUCACUGCAGAAAAUGUAAACGUCUGAGCUUAAAUGCGAUUAUUGUUUUUUCUUUUUUUCAGAAUGGGUCACAUCCAGUCUGGUUUAUCCUUUAAACACAUUUGUGAG
rnacentral:lncRNA from 1 species